AGGUCGGUGGCGGACGAGCCACUCGCCAACCCGGUCAGGUCCGGAAGGAAGCAGCCGUAACGAGCCCGGCCCGGGUCGCAGGCCGGCCUCCC
rnacentral:SRP_RNA from 1 species